UGAUAUGGUUUCGGGCCUGAA
rnacentral:siRNA from 1 species